rnacentral:rRNA from 1 species
AGCGAACGCUAGCGGCGGGCCUAACACAUGCAAGUCGAGCGCAUACCUUCGGGUAUGAGCGGCGGACGGGUGAGUAACACGUAGGUAAUCUACCCUUUGGUGGGGAAUAACCCGGGGAAACUCGGGCUAAUGCCGCACGAGGUCUACGGAUCAAAGCCUUCGGGCGCCAGAGGAUGAGCCUGCGUUGCAUUACCUAGUUGGCGGGGUAACGGCCCACCAAGGGGGACGAUGCAUAGCUGGUCUGAGAGGAUGAUCAGCCACACUGGGACUGAGACACGGCCCAGACUCCUACGGGAGGCAGCAGUGGGGAAUAUUGCGCAAUGGGGGAAACCCUGACGCAGCUACGCCGCGUGGGUGAUGAAGGCCUUCGGGUUGUAAAGCCCUGUCGGGAGGGACGAAGUACUGACGGUACCUCCCAAGAAAGCACCGGCUAACUCCGUGCCC